GUGUCUGUAGCCUAGUGUUUGAGCAUUCUAGUAUCUGUCUCAGUUGAUUGGUCAUGAGGUCAUGGGUUUGAAUCCCAUCAGACACA